GUGGUGGUGUUUGCAUAUGUGUGCUGUGUCAGUGCUGCACACACUUUAAGAGCUGUAGUGCUGAUCAGAGUGUGUUCAGUCCUUUCAGAGCCACUGACACGCAGCACAAUGAUGAUGGUACUGAUUCUACUGCUGGGGACACUGGGACUCCUCGCUCACCAGUCCUUUGGGGAAAUCGUCCUGACUCAGUCUCCAGGAGCUCAGUCUGUUUCUCCAGGACAAUCUGUUACUCUCACCUGUACAACCAGUCAGAGUGUAGGCAGUAACCUCCAGUGGUACCUGCAGAAACCUGGAGAAGCUCCUAAACUCUUGGUCUAUUAUGCAUCUACUCGUCAGUCUGGGAUUCCAGAUCGUUUCAGUGGCAGUGGAUCUGGAACACAAUUUAGUCUAAAAAUCUCUGGAGUUCAGACUGAAGAUGCAGGAGAUUAUUACUGUCAGCAGGGUAGCAGUGGGUACACACAGUGUUAUAUCGCUGUACAAAAACCUCCCUCAGCUGUAGAGGAAGUGCUCUGA